AAAUAAUUGUUAUCUUAAAAAAAAAAAAAAAACAAUACCUACUUUUGUGCGCAAAACCCAAUUAUUUUAAAAGGUGCUCCAGGUGGAGAAAAUUCUAAUUGUUUUAAUUAACACCUACAUACCUACAUUAAUUUGGUGUUUUAUUAAACAUUACUGCUUAAAAUUAAAGGUGCUCCAGAGUAAAAAUCGAUCGAAUUCGAUUCGAAACUAAAAACCCGACCAUCCAAUCAGACUUUUUAAAGUCUAAAAGUGCUCUUUUUGCUAAGCCGCACAAUAUCGCCCAAAUUCAGAAAAAAAAAAACUAUUUGACUCGCAGCCUGAGCAAACAAAAAAAAAAUCACCCCCAAAAUCUCCAUCUUGGCACCUUUAUUUUAUUUAAAUGUGUAAAAAAAGUACAUAUUUUUAUUUUUUUUGAUCCUGUUUAAAAAUCCUGCAAGGACUAAAUAAAAUUAACAGCAAAAAAAAAAUACAACACACACUCUCAACUCAACAAUCAAAAUCAUCCAAACUUUCAUCCUCGGAAAACAUCUAAAAUUGCACUUAUAACCUAAAUAAGCAAUAUCCAGGAAAAACAUAUAAAAUCAUCUUCUACCUGAGCCUUCAUCUCAUCACGUUUCAAAAAAAAAAUCAUCACAAAACCUAUAAAAGCUAAGUACCUAAAAAUCUUUCUUUCAAGUAAAAAAAUAAAAAAAAAAGUUUUAUAAAUCUUAAAUUAUUGCAUAUCUACUAUUUGACCUUGUACAUUCAAUUCGUUCAAAUUUCUUUUUUCUAUUUUACCCUAUUUUAGUCUAGCUUUAAAAUAAAUAAGCAAAAUCAUAACAAAACAACAACAAAAACUCAAUCCUGCGAUGGUGUGCACAUUAUCAGGAGGAAAUGACCAAAUGUGAAUUAUAAACAACGAAGAACAAAAA